GCGACCCCAGGUCAGGCGGGGCUACCCGCYGAG
rnacentral:rRNA from 1 species